AGCAGCCGCGGUAAUUCCAGCUCCAAUAGCGUAUAUUAAAGUUGUUGCAGUUAAAAAGCUCGUAGUUGAAUUUCGGGGUUAGUAGGUUGGUCGUACCACUGGUAUGUACUGGCUCUACUGAUCCCUCCUUCUUGUAGAACCGUAAUGCCAUUAACUUGGUGUUGCGGGGAAACAGGACUGUUACUUUGAAAAAAUUAGAGUGUUUAAAGCAGGCUAACGCUUGAAUACAUUAGCAUGGAAUAAUGAAAUAGGACGCUCGAUCCUAUUUUGUUGGUUUCUAGGAUUGACGUAAUGAUUAAUAGGGAUAGUUGGGGGCAUUAGUAUUCAAUUGUCAGAGGUGAAAUUCUUGGAUUUAUUGAAGACUAACUACUGCGAAAGCAUUUGCCAAGGAUGUUUUCAUUAAUCAAGAACGAAAGUUAGGGGAUCGAAGACGAUCAGAUACCGUCGUAG
rnacentral:rRNA from 1 species